AACUGGUAGAAUGAAGGACAAGGCUGGUGCUUGUCACUGGGCCAGCAAGCAGAAACUGCAUCAAAGUUUCCAAGCUGUGCACAGGGCCUGGGGUCAGGGUGGAGGUCACCCCAGCAGGAAUCCUUCAAGUAGAUUCAUUCCCUUGGGGCUGUUGACCCAGGAAGGCUCUGAACUGCCCCCCUCACAUUGAGACAAAUGUCUCUGGUGUCCCACGAGGUGGGUCAGUGUACAGGGCCUUGGAUGGUGAGGUUUGAGUUCCUCUGACAUUUGUCUGAGGAAGAAAUGCUGUGUGUGUGUGUGUGUGUGUGUGUGUGUGUGUGUGUGUGUGUGUCUGUCUGUCUGUCUGUCUGUCUUGGGGGGGCUGUCAGCAGUCUCACAACGGCCUGGGCUUUCCACAGGGCAACCUUGGGCUCAGCGAGUCUGGAAUCUUUUGCCAUCACCCAGAAAACUCUGGGUCCCUGGGACACUUGACUGCAGUUUGCUCUUGGCCCAUCAUAUGUUCCUGAAUCCUUAAACCUUUCUCCUCAGAAAAGCUCUAAGAUCUGUCUCUCGGCUGCACUCAAGACCCAGGCGCCAGCUGCCGUGCCGGGUAGUCAGAGAGCCGGUGCCGAUCCCACAGGGCCCGGGACACAGGUCGAGCUUUAUCCCGGGACCUGCUUUCUGCCCUGUUCCAGCCUGUCCUUCCACCUCUGGGGCUGAAAACUAAAAUCAUUAAUCACUGUGGUUGUGUUCACGGCAGACUUUUUGUCCGAGAACUCAGGGAACAGCAGAGCUAGGAUUUUCCAAACUUUUAUUUUAUUUCUGCUUCCUGGUGUGUCACUCAGCCCCUGUCCCCUCCUGCCACUCUCAGCAGUCUGGAUGGCAGAGGAGGCUGGAGUCCAGCAGCAGAGGACAGAGGACGCCCUGCAGACUCCUGCAGUUUGUACUGGAAAGACAAAAACUCACCUCAGGGAAUCAGACCUGGAGAGGUUUCAUGGUUUGUGAGUUUCUCCUGUGGUUUAAGCAACAGGUUUCUAGGGGGCUCCCUCCUCCCAACCCCCUCCCCAUCUUUAUUUAAUGAGAGUUAAUGAAAAUAAAAC